GAUGAACGCUGGCGGCGUGCCUAAUACAUGCAAGUCGAGCGAACGGACGAGAAGCUUGCUUCUCUGAUGUUAGCGGCGGACGGGUGAGUAACACGUGGAUAACCUACCUAUAAGACUGGGAUAACUUCGGGAAACCGGAGCUAAUACCGGAUAAUAUUUUGAACCGCAUGGUUCAAAAGUGAAAGACGGUCUUGCUGUCACUUAUAGAUGGAUCCGCGCUGCAUUAGCUAGUUGGUAAGGUAACGGCUUACCAAGGCAACGAUGCAUAGCCGACCUGAGAGGGGGACCGGAAAAAUGUGAAGUGAGAAGCGGUCGAGACGCGAGAGGGAGGCAGGAGUAGGGAAUGUGAGGAAGUGGGAGAAAGCGUGAAGGAGCAAGGCGGGGUGAGUGAAGAAGGUCUUCGGAUCGUAAAACUCUGUUAUGAGGGAAGAACAUAUGUGUAAGUAACUGUGAACAUAGUGACGGUACCUAAAGAGAAAGCCACGGCUAACUACGU
rnacentral:rRNA from 1 species